rnacentral:lncRNA from 1 species
CAGGUGAGAUGUAAGGGUACAUCUGCACUGAACGUGACCGACUCCGGAGCUAUUUCUGUUGUCAAGAUUUACUCCGAUAGAAUAUGGGUAUAAAUGUCCCUCCGAUCUGAGACCGCCAUGGUGACUUGCAAGCAACUCACUGCACUUAGGCACUGGACUACCUAAAUUUUUAAUUCAAUGAUGGAAGGCUGCUGGGUGUAGUCAAGUACUUGACUUGUCGGUGCAUGUGUUAAGAUGGGAUUGACCACUCCAGUUCAGGAGUUGUGUACAGUCGUGUUUCAAUUUAGCAAAACCUUGGCCAGGGUAGUCUUUGUGAGGAGUCACAGGACUGUUUGAGUUGAGCACGAUUCGGAUGAUCUAAUCAGGGUUGACAGUUUAACCCUGAGUCAUCCUAAACACAGGGGUCAAAAGGAUGAAUUAUACAGUAACCAUAUUCAUGUAGGUUUUGAGUGCUGUGAUUGCGACUCUUCGACCUAUCCGGACUCGGGUACCAUUGCUAGAUGAUCACUUCGAUUAGUACAGGAAUUGGUUCCUGUGCUAUCGACUUAGGUUCGAACCUGUGGGGUCACACACAUUAGAGGUUCCUAUCUGAUCUAAUGGCUGGUGUAGAAUCCUUUAUGUUUGAGACUCAGUGAUCGAGAAUCAAAAUUCUCUGAUCAUGAGUUCCACACAUUAUGGGUACCGGGGUCAAGAGUCCCACUGGUUGGGACUUUUCGAUCAGGGUUACAUAUCG